GGGCCGGUAGUUCAAUUGGCUGAACACCAUUGCGCGGGAGUUCCAGGUUCGAGUCCUGGUCGGUCCACCA
rnacentral:tRNA from 1 species